AUGCUUGAGGAGUUGCUUGUCGAGAUGCUUGAGGAGAUGCUUGAGAAGUUUCUUGUUGAGAUGCUUGAGGAGAUGCUUGUUGAGAUGCUUGAGGAGUUGCUUGUCGAGAUGCUAGUUCAGAUGCUUGAGGAGAUGCUUGUUGAGUUGCUUGUCGAGAUGCUUGUUGAGAUGCUGGAGGAGUUGCUUGUUAAGAUGCUUGUGAUUAUUUGUGUGGAGUAUGUGUGUAACUCCUUGUUUGUGUGCAGUAUAUGUAAACCCCUUGUGAAAUUACUCCAUAUGUUUGCAAAAGGCUUCUAUGGACUGGAUUUUACUCCAUAUAUAUGA
rnacentral:rRNA from 1 species